CCUACGGGGGGCAGCAGUGGGGAAUAUUGGACAAUGGGGGCAACCCUGAUCCAGCCAUGCCGCGUGUGUGAAGAAGGCCCUCGGGUUGUAAAGCACUUUCAGUGAGGAAGAACGCCUGGUGGUUAAUACCCAUCAGGAAAGACAUCACUCACAGAAGACGCACCGGCUAACUCCGUGCCAGCAGCCGCGGUAAUACGGAGGGUGCGAGCGUUAAUCGGAAUUACUGGGCGUAAAGCGCGCGUAGGUGGCUUGAUAAGCCGGUUGUGAAAGCCCCGGGCUCAACCUGGGAACGGCAUCCGGAACUGGCAAGCUAGAGUGCAGGAGAGGAAGGUAGAAUUCCCGGUGUAGCGGUGAAAUGCGUAGAGAUCGGGAGGAAUACCAGUGGCGAAGGCGGCCUUCUGGACUGACACUGACACUGAGGUGCGAAAGCGUGGGUAGCAAACAGGAUUAGAUACCCCAGUAGUC
rnacentral:rRNA from 1 species